GACGGAGGAUGCAAGCGUUAUCCGGAAUGAUUGGGCGUAAAGCGUCCGCAGGUGGCAGUUCAAGUCUGCUGUCAAAGACCGGGGCUUAACUUCGGAAAGGCAGUGGAAACUGAACAGCUAGAGUAUGGUAGGGGCAGAGGGAAUUCCUGGUGUAGCGGUGAAAUGCGUAGAUAUCGGGAGGAACACCGGUGGCGAAGGCGGCGACCUGGGUCGAUACUGACGCUGAGGUGCGAAAGCGUGGGGAGCAAACAGG
rnacentral:rRNA from 1 species